GUUCCCAACAACGGACAUCUGUGAUGACAAUGAAAUGAUCGUGGUACUCUGGAAAUAUGCUAAGCAGAAAGUCUCAGUAUAAAUAAUAGAUCUUAACGUCAUUCUUCGCCAACGAUAAUGUUUCUCACUGUCUAGA
rnacentral:sRNA from 1 species